rnacentral:rRNA from 1 species
AGAUUGAACGCUGGCGGCAUGCCUAACACAUGCAAGUCGAACGGGAGUAGCAAUACUCUAGUGGCGGACGGGUGAGGAAUACGUAGGAAUUUGCCCUUAAGUGGGGGAUAACCCGGGGAAACCCGGAUUAAUACCGCAUGACCUCGAAAGAGCAAAGUGGGGGACCGCAAGACCUCACGCUUGUGGAGAAGCCUACGUCGGAUUAGCUAGUUGGUGAGGUAAUGGCUCACCAAGGCGACGAUCCGUAACUGGUCUGAGAGGAUGAUCAGUCACACCGGAACUGAGACACGGUCCGGACUCCUACGGGAGGCAGCAGUGGGGAAUAUUGGACAAUGGGCGCAAGCCUGAUCCAGCAAUGCCGCGUGUGUGAAGAAGGCCUUCGGUUGUAAAGCACUUUAAAGUUGGGUAAGAAAAAACUACGACUCUAACUAACAGUGAGUCUUGACGGUACCGAACUAGAAUAAGCAACCGGCUAACUCUGUGCCAAGCAGCCGC